CAUUAACUAUAUUUAACUGAUUUUAACAGCCUUAGAUAACUCCAAAACAUCAAUUACUUUACUUGGAUUUAUUAAUUCAUUCAAAUAUAUAUAUAUAUAUAAUGAGAAUCUAUUAUUUGCCAGGCACUGGGCUAGGCAAAGGUAAGAGUGAAUGGCAAAAUCAUGUUCUCCCUGUUUUCCUGUAAUAUAUUGUCUGGCUAAAGGCUGUGAAGGAAGAGUAAUGUGAAGGAAGAGUAUUCGAAGGAUAUAAGAAAAGGGAUCACACAAUUAACUGUAUGUAGGCUGUUCUUAGGGAAGAUUUCUUCUAGAGGUGGUACUUGGCCUUCAGUCAGAAGCAUGAUUUGAUAUUUGAUGUUAACCAGGUAAUUGAGAGGAUAAGGUGCUUUCUCAGCAGAAAAGACAUAGUAGGCAAAGUCUUUAAGAUAAAAGCAUAGUGAAAGCUCAAAACUAAAAGGAGGCUUGGGUGUCUGGACUCCAGAGACAGGAAGAGAGUUUAGAGAGUCUAGCAGAGAUAGCAGAGAAGACUUUAUCUUUUUUUUCUUUUUUUUUUUCUGUAGCAACCAUCUUUCCUGUGAAAAAUUCCCUCUCCUAGUACUUUAGUUCUGUGGAUCCAAAAUUUAUAGCAUUCUUCUACCACCACAGGGGCUCAUAUGACAUUAACAGACAAGACACUUUUCAGAAAGACAGUUUUAAGAGUUCUGUGGAGUGCUCAUACCAGUUCUUUAUUGGAUACAUGUUUUGUAAAUAUUGUCUCCCAGUCUUGGCUUGUUUUUUAAAUAUUAACUAUGACUUUCU